rnacentral:rRNA from 1 species
AGAGUUUGAUCCUGGCUCAGAUUGAACGCUGGCGGCAUGCCUUACACAUGCAAGUCGAACGGUAACAGCACUUCGGUGGCUGACGAGUGGCGAACGGGUGAGUAAUACAUCGGAACGUGCCCGAGAGUGGGGGAUAACGCAGCGAAAGCUGUGCUAAUACCGCAUACGAUCUACGGAUGAAAGCAGGGGACCGCAAGGCCUUGCGCUCAUGGAGCGGCCGAUGGCAGAUUAGGUAGUUGGUGGGAUAAAAGCUUACCAAGCCGACGAUCUGUAGCUGGUCUGAGAGGACGACCAGCCACACUGGGACUGAGACACGGCCCAGACUCCUACGGGAGGCAGCAGUGGGGAAUUUUGGACAAUGGGCGAAAGCCUGAUCCAGCCAUGCCGCGUGCAGGAUGAAGGCCUUCGGGUUG